CUGCUGAGCCAUGAUGGAAACUCCAAGAAAAGUCUCUGAAGGAAGUUCGGUGAGGAUAAACAUGCAGCCUGAGGAACUCAGGAGUCAGGCUUUUUGCUGAUACGGAAUUCUGAGCUUUCCUUCCGGGCCGAUGUUUUGGAGGCAGGAUAUUCAAGCGCCGAGGAAAAGAGAACAGAAGAACCAGAGGAAUGAUAAGCUCAUCCAUUUAACCCUAAAAAGGGGCGAACGCUUCAUUCACUUUUCUCAGUGGAGCAAGAACAGACUGAUUGGCCCUCUGGGUGUUCGCGAAUGAAAGGUCAUCCUUCCGCUCGGCAGACACCUCCAGUCGGGCGGAGAAAGCCUGGGCUGUGACCUGAAAAAGCUCCCUGCGCGGUGCCCCUCGGCCAGGCCAGGCCAAAUGCUGUCCUCAGAGGACGCAGGCAAGUUUUAUGCAGCUGACGAUAUUUACUGAGCCCAAGCCAAAUGACUCCGUUGAUAAACACAGGAGAUGGGCAAAUGAAUAAGACCAAAUCCUGCUUCAAGAUCUCAUCGUAUUGGAAAGAAGAACAAGUAAACUAUGAGGAAAGCGGUUGGUGGAAAGCGAGUCUUGGUGGAUGCUCCUGUGUGGAUCCUCUGUGGAAACUGGAGUCUCUCGAAGCAGAUGCUCAGGAUUCUAUUCUCAGAAGGAUUUGCUGUGGAGGACACAAAGGCUGGAUAAACUGGAGCUGACAUCAGGCUUCCAGAAUCUUCCACAGAGAAAGUCAGAGUCGUUUCAUACUUUUCAGAGCAGAGAAAUCACUCACCUUCCCAAGAGAAAUAGUAGGAGGACUACUUAGGCUCACACAUCACUUCUUCCUCUUGAGUCCCAGAAAGUGUCUCCAUUAGUCCCAGAUGUGACUGCGUAGUUCGCAGCAGGAAUGACUUCAAGUUCAUUACCAGAUCCUGCCCCCAGAAAACAUGUACUCUUUCUCACAGAGAAUAAAGGGAGGCUGUAUUACAGUGAGGAUGCAUCAAGCGUGCUAGAUCACCGGGUGUAAGGUAAGAAAAAGGGGUAAUAAAAAAUCUUUGUUACCAGAGGAAGGGACGGAUUGAGGAGGCUGAGUCCAGCAGAGUUGCUGGUAGAGACUGUGAGCCAGAGAGGAGGACACCUAUGGUCCUUAAAAUGGCAUCAUUUCAUUGUUUACAUGUGAACUGUGCCAUGUCUGGAAAAACAUAAGCCAGGAGUUACCAUAAGCUUAAAACGCUUCAAAAAUUAGGAUCUUUUUAAAAACAUUUAAAAAAAACGUUUAAAGUAUGGCUGAUUUACAAUGUUGUGCCAAUGGCUGCUGUACAGCAAAGUGACCGGGUCAUAUUACACACACACACACACACACGGAUAUACACCCACACAUGCCCUUUCUCCUACUGUCUUCCAUCGUGGUCUAUCCCAGGAGACUGGACCUAGUUCCCUGUGCUGUAUGGCAGGACCUCAUUGUUCAUCCAUUCUACAUGCCAUAGUUUGGAUCUACUCACUCCAAACUCCCGUCCAUCCUACUCCUUCCCAUCCGCCUUGGCAGCUACAUGUCUGUGGUCUUGAAUUCAAGCACAUUCUGAUUAUUUGGGCAAACGUCACUAAAUGUUCCAGGAAGAUAUGUUAGUCCCUUGCCUCGUGGAUUUUUUUACUGCUCCUCUCUCUGGGUGGGAGGUACACAUUCUCCACAGGUAGAUUUUUCAAGCCAGCUCUAGGAGGCAGUCUAUUAUUUGCUUGGCAGCAGGGGAAAAGGGCAGGAAUUGUCUUAUUUAAAUCCCUCUGUACACAAGACUUAGCUCUGUGUGGCAGGAUGAUAGGUAACCUGUGGAUGUGAGUGAUACCAAUAGCUGCAGGGACGAGAUCAAUCCUUGGUCAUGGAGGGGUGAGCGAUCUCUUUUUGGAAAUAAUUUACAAAAACUAAAAGAUAAGUAC